UUUCAGUGUUUUGCCAUUAAACUGUCAAAAGAUGUAAAAGCGUUUUACGAAGUUUUCGUCGAGCGGUCGUGUCUUAUACACAAACGCUGUUGUACCGAAAGGCUAUUUAGGACUACUCCAAAAAACAACUUUUGAUGAAGGCCGGAUACCCAUAGUGUUAUAUACCAAUCGACUCAGCUCGACGAACUGAUGUGAUGUCUGUCUGUAUGUGUGCGGGUGUGUAUGUGUGUGUACAAAUCUUGUAGACACACUUUUUUGAAAGUUAGCAUAACCAAAUUUACUCGCAACAAGUUUUAUUUGACGGUGAAUGCGGUCUCAUUGUUUGCCAUUAAAAAUUAGCCCAUUUGGACAUUGCAUUUUGUUAAAAAAAUUAUUUUGAUCUUUUUAGUGGAAUGUCUUCACUUACUUGACUCGACCACUGAAGACGGCCUUACUUUUGAGGUCGAAAUACGUAUCUGUCAACAAUCUUGACUCAAGAUACAAUUAAGUGGUGGAAUUCAAUGGGAUUGCACAAACUCGUCUUAUGACAAGUGGGCAUUGCAUUUUGUUGUUAUUGAAAAAUCUACGUUUUUCCCAAGGGUCCCCCCUUCCAAUAGUUAGUAAUCGAAUUUAAUCUAUACCGUGGUUUUGUGGAGCUAAUUGCAUAACUCCUCAACAGGCAACAUUGCUGCUCGUGGCGCGAAAGAUAGCACACACAAAUUCAGGCUACUAUGUUGCACUGCACAUUUCAGUGAUGCCCUCAAAGAAGUUUAACGAUCAUCACGCUCGUCCGGCUGAACUCAAAUUUGGGUCAGCAUAACUCAAAAUAAUAUCUUCUACUGAAACGUCAAACGCUGAGUAAUUGAGAAUUAUUAUUUUGAGUAGCUUCGACUCAUAUUUAUCUAAAUUGUAUUUGAACUCAAAUAUGAGUUCACCUUGAAAAUUUCCAGGAGUCCAACGAUCGCCUAUAACUCCUCAACAUUAUCCAGCAACAAACAACCUAUUUGUUCCUGAUUAUACGAUGUGGACAUUGAAACGCACGCUCAAACCACGUCAGGAAAUAUCGCGGCCAAGUUUUCAGACUAUAACCAACUACCAAGAUGGUGGUACCGGCGUGAAUAGUUUUUUAUGACCUCUCUUGUGAAAUUGGUCUGUGAUCUCGCACCCGAUACGAUGUUUCGGAUAGUCAUUGGUUCAUUCAAGCCCGCGGCGAGCUCCCAGACGAACCAUGAAAAUCAAUGCGAAUCGGACGAUGAAAAUCGAACGAAUCGGACCGAGAUUCAUUAAUAUAAGUAUACUAGUUGAUGUAUUAUGCUCAAAGAGGUUAUGUACUACAGAAAACGAUUUUCGCUGGGAUUUCCUUUGUUCUUUUCUACAAACAUGUUGAGCGCAUAUCCUUGACACGAAACCACGAAACGAGGUAACGACUGUGACAAUCUUUCUCUGUAGUUUAUAACCUCUUUAACUAUGCUGAAAUAAAUGUUAUUUUUUUCUAUAAUUUAUUUUGAAUUGAUUCUCUUCUUUUAACUGAGCCCGACUGCUUUUAUUAGAUUUGACAAACUCAAAAUUCUAAAA